UAAAUUCAAUAGAAAAUCUUUAGAGGGAGCUGAAACUCCUUGUUUCUCAGCGACAGCCCAGAAACCUGUCUGAUCUAGAGAUCUGUGUGGAGGAGUGGGCCGAAAUCCCUCGUGCAGUGUAUGCAAACCUGGUGGACAACUACAGCAAACAUUUAACCUCUGGAUUUGCAAAAAAAGGCUACUAUACCAAAUAUUAACAUUGGUUUUCUCAGGUGUUCAAAUACUUAUUUGCAGGUGUAUUACACAAAUAAUCGUUAAAAAAAUCAUACAUUGUGAUUUCUGGAUUUUUCUUUUUAGAUUAUCUCUCUCACAGUGGACAUGCACCUACGAUGACAAUUUCAGACCCCUCUGUGAUUUCUAAGUGGGAGCACUUCAAAUACGUAUUUUCUUCACUGUAUAGGUUGGCUUGGGAAGAAGAAGUGGGAUAUUGAGAGGACUGAGGAGAGGCGAAAGGAGUACAUUGAGAUGCGACGUAGGGCAAAGGUAAAGGUGGCAAAGGCUAAACAAGAGGCAUAUGAAGACAUGUACACCAGGUUGGACACGAAAGAAGGAGAAAAGCAUCUCUACAUGUUGGCCAGACAGAGGGAUAGAGAUGGGAAGGAUGUGCAGCAGAUUGUCUGGCUCUGGAGUAGGAGUACCUGUCCUGGUGGGAUUUCUUCCACUGAUGUAGCUCCUCCUCUUCUCACUGACUGCCACCUCCACACUAUGGCUCUGGCACUUGGCAGCUCUCCUGACCAAUCACAGACUUCUUCCGCUAUUCCGCUAAUACAAGUCUAACCGGGUAAAUAGUGUGAAGAUCCAUGCCGGAGUGAUUCAUGGAAGUGUGCACGCUUCGAUGAAAAACCAAAACUACAAAGUCGAGGUCUAUCUACAAAAAGCUCCAGCCCAGGCUGUGCGGGUGCCCGCGCGGUUGUGCUGAUUGGGAGGCGCACACCUGCACCUCAUGCGGGCUGAUUAUCCUGUGUAUUUAUAUGACCGCGAUGACGACUGGUCUGGGCCAGAUCAUUGAGGUUCAUGUCCCGUUCCAGCACAGUAUCCCUGAUCGUCAACCCGUGUGUACCGACCUUCGCCUGUUCUCCGACCGACCCUGUAUCCUUGGCGCUCUCUCAUUGGUCUCCUUUGCUCCGCCGGAUGUUGGCCCGACUCCUCCCCUACAGAAUCGCGUGCUGGCUCCUCCUGGUGGUGGUUUCCUG